rnacentral:rRNA from 1 species
ACUCAAAGGAAUUGACGGGGGCCCGCACAAGCGGUGGAGUAUGUGGCUUAAUUCGAUGCAACGCGAAGAACCUUACCUGGCCUUGACAUGCUUUGGACCGGCGCUGAAAAGCGCCUUCUCUUCGGAGCCGGAGCACAGGUGCUGCAUGGCUGUCGUCAGCUCGUGUCGUGAGAUGUUGCGUUAAGUCGCGCAACGAGCGCAACCCCUGUCCUUAGUUGCCAGCAUUCAGUUGGGCACUUUAAGGAGACAAGCUCUCUCUGAGAGCGGGAAGGUGGGGAUGACGUCAAGUCAGGAUGGCCCUUACGGCCAGGGCUGCACACGUACUACAAUGCCCGGUACAGAGGGGUGCUAUGCCGCGAGGCAAUGCAAAUCUCAAAAACCGGGCCCAGUUCAGAUUGUAGUCUGCAACUCGACUACAUGAAGUUGGAAUCGCUAGUAAUGGCGCAUCAGCUACGGCGCCGUGAAUACGUUCCCGGGCCUUGUACACACCGCCCGU